UACGGAGGGGGCUAGCGUUGUUCGGAAUUACUGGGCGUAAAGCGCACGUAGGCGGACUGUUAAGUCGGGGGUGAAAUCCUGGGGCUCAACCUCAGAAUUGCCUCCGAUACUGGCAGUCUCGAGUGCGGGAGAGGUGAGUGGAAUUCCCAGUGUAGAGGUGAAAUUCGUAGAUAUUGGGAAGAACACCAGUGGCGAAGGCGGCUCACUG
rnacentral:rRNA from 1 species